GACGAAGGAUGCAAGCGUUAUCCGGAUUCAUUGGGUUUAAAGGGAGCGUAGGUGGCCUUAUAAGUCAGUGGUGAAAUCUCUUGGCUUAACCAAGAAAUUGCCAUUGAUACUGUAGGGCUUGAGUACAGUUGCUGUGGGCGGAAUAUGUCAUGUAGCGGUGAAAUGCUUAGAUAUGACAUAGAACACCAAUUGCGAAGGCAGCUGGCUACGCGAAUAUUGACACUGAUGCACGAAAGCGUGGGGAUCAAACAGG
rnacentral:rRNA from 1 species